AGGAUAAACGCUGGCGGCGUGCAUGAGACAUGCAAGUCGAACGGACGAUCAGGGCUUGCUCUGAUCGUUAGUGGCGGACGGCUGAGUAACGCGUAGGUGACCUGCCCCGAAGUGGGGAAUAACUGCCCGAAAGGGUGGCUAAUACCGCAUGUGGUGGUGUGUUCAUUCACACCAGUAAAGCCGCAAGGCGCUUCGGGAGGGGCCUGCGUCCGAUUAGCUCGUUGGUGGGGUAACGGCUCACCAAGGCGACGAUCGGUAGGUGGUCUGAGAGGACGAUCACCCAGACUGGGACUGAGACACGGCCCAGACUCCUACGGGAGGCAGCAGUCGGGAAUUUUGCCCAAUGGACGAAAGUCUGAGGCAGCAACUCCGCGUGAGGGACGAAGGCCUUCGGGUCGUAAACCUCUUUUCUCAGGGAAGAUACAAGACGGUACCUGAGGAAUAAGCCACGGCUAACUACGUGCCAGCAGCCGC
rnacentral:rRNA from 1 species